rnacentral:rRNA from 1 species
CGCAAUACGGGAGCGGCAGACGGGAGAGUAACACGUGGGAACGUACCCUUCAGUUCGGAACAACCCAGGGAAACUUGGGCUAAUACCGAAUACGUCCGUAAGGAGAAAGAUUUAUCGCUGAAGGAUCGGCCCGCGUCUGAUUAGCUAGUUGGUGAGGUAACGGCUCACCAAGGCGACGAUCAGUAGCUGGUCUGAGAGGAUGAUCAGCCUCAUUGGGACUGAGACACGGCCCAA